AUUGAACGCUGGCGGCGUGCUUAACACAUGCAAGUCGAUCGGUAACAGGUGUAGCAAUACAUGCUGACGAGAGGCGGACGGGUGAGUAAUGCUUGGGAAUCUGCCUAUUAGUGGGGGACAACCCGGGGAAACUCGGGCUAAUACCGCAUACGCUCUACGGAGGAAAGCCGGGGACCGCAAGGCCUGGCGCUAUUGGAGCGGCCGAUGUCCGAUUAGCUAGUUGGCGGGGUAAGAGCCCACCAAGGCGACGAUCGGUAGCUGGUCUGAGAGGACGGACCAGCCACACUGGGACUGAGACACGGGCCCAGACUCCUACGGGAGGCAGCAGUGGGGAAUUUUGGACAAUGGGGGCAACCCUGAUCCAGCCAUGCCGCGUGCGGGAAGAAGGCCUGG
rnacentral:rRNA from 1 species